AACGAACGCUGGCGGCAUGCCUAACACAUGCAAGUCGAACGAACCCUUCGGGGUUAGUGGCGCACGGGUGCGUAACGCUUGGGAAUCUGCCCUUUGCUUCGGAAUAACUCAGGGAAACUUUUGCUAAUACCGGAUGAUGUCUUCGGACCAAAGAUUUAUCGGCAAGGGAUGAGCCCGCGUAGGAUUAGGUAGUUGGUGGGGUAAAGGCCUACCAAGCCGCCGAUCCUUAGCUGGUCUGAGAGGAUGAUCAGCCACACUGGGACUGAGACACGGCCCAGACUCCGACGGGAGGCAGCGGUGGGGAAUAAUGAACAAGGGGCGCAAGUCUGAUCCAGCAAGGCCGAGUGAGUGAUGAAGGCGCUCGGGUCGUAAAGAUCUUUUACCAGGGAUGAUAAUGACAGUACAUGGAGAAUAAGCUCCGGCUAACUCCGUG
rnacentral:rRNA from 1 species